AGUUAUGAAACGCGCCAUAACUUGGGAAGCAUCCAUGGAAACUCAGAGAGAGGUUUUGAGGAGAUAGUAGAAGGAGACGAAAGAUGGGAGUGAUAGAGGAGGGGAGUAUAUCGGGAUAUAUACCCAGCAAUGAAGCUUUUUCUGUUCACUAUCCGGCUUACCCUUCCUCCACAGCUCGCGCCAUUGAAACCCUAGGUGGAACUCAAGCUAUCCGUAAGGCUCGGAGCUCUCAAUCAAACAAGUUGGAGCUCCAUUUCCGGCCUGAGGACCCAUAUUCACAUCCUGCAUUUGGGGAGCUUCAGCCCUGUAAUAAUUUGCUGUUGAGAAUAUCCAAAAAGAAAUCUACUGAUGGCCAAAGUGCUGAAGUUUCCAGCAAGGUAUCAAAAUGUCCACCAACUGACUCCACUAAUCCUAAGCAAAAAAUUUGUGGUUCUGAAUCAGUAGGAAGUGAGCAGCAUGGCAGUCAACCUGAAGGUGAAUCAGUUGCUACUGGAGAAGAAGUUGAAGCACAAAUAUCUGGAGAAGUGCCGAUAAGACUUUGUGCCGAUAUUAUUGCUCGGGUGUCAGAGGCUUAUCAUUUUAAUGGAAUGGUGGACUACCAGCAUGUUCUUCCUGUUCAUGCUGAUGUUGCAAGAAGAAAAAAGAGAAACUGGGCUGAAGUGGAGCCACACCUCGAGAAGGGUGACCUUGUGGAUGUGGAUCAAGAGGAUUUGAUGAUACUAUUGCCUCCACUUUUUUCACCCAAGGAUGUGCCAGAGAAAUUAGUGUUAAGACCAUCAAUGACAUUGAACUUGAAAAAGAAACAAGAGGGAGUUGUGCAACAGCGUUGGGAGAUGGGUAUUGAGCCAUGUCUUGCAAUUGAUUUUGAGAUUAAAGAGAUUCCUAAGAAAGUAAAUUGGGAGCAAUACAUACCCAAGGGCUCUGAACAGUGGGAGUGGCAGAUGGCUGUAUCUAAUCUGUUUGAUGAGCGGCCUAUAUGGCCCAAAGGUGCACUGACUGAACGCUUGCUUGAUAAAGGUCUAAAUGUUGGAGAUUAUACACUUAGAAGGCUUCUGUUUAGAACUGCAUACUACUUUUCAAAUGGACCCUUCCUGAGAUUUUGGAUCAGAAAAGGAUAUGAUCCUCGGAAAAAUCCUGAUUCUUGCAUAUAUCAGAGAAUAGAUUUUCGAGUACCACCAUCCUUACGAAGUUAUUGUGAUGCUAAUGCAGCCAAUGGGUUGAAGCAGAGAUGGGAGGAUAUAUGCUCAUUUCGAGUAUUUCCUUAUAAGUGCCAUACAUCAUUGCAGUUGUUUGAACUUGCUGAUGAUUACAUUCAACAAGAGAUAAGAAAGCCUUUAAAGCAGACGACCUGCACUGGUGCUACAGGAUGGUUCUCAUAUCGUGUGCUGGAGAGCUUGAGGUUAUGUGUCAUGGUGAGGUUCCUAUCAAUAUGCCCUGAAACAAGUGCAGAAUACUUACUGAAAUCUGCUUCUGAUCGAUUUGAGAAGUCAAAGAGGAUGCACAUAUAUGAAAACAACUUGAGACCCAAUGAAGAGGGGAUCCAAGAAGUCAAUAAAGAACUGGAAGGUGACAAAGAUAAAGAGGAACCCAAUGAUGUGGAUGAUGAUGAGGAAGAUGAAAUGGAGGCUGAGAAUGGUGAAGAGGAAUUGGAUGCAUAUGAGGCACUAGAUAUGGUUGGUGAGGAUGAUGAAGAUUCUUUGCAAUCACGUUCAUAUCUAGAUGCAGAGAACAUCUCAAGGGACUAUUUGCAAGGGCUUUUUGGUAGCUUCUCAUUCACAAAAGCAGGUGGUGGUGAAGUGCAAGAUGCUGACACCAGCGAUGGAGAAUAUCAAAUCUAUGAGCAAGACAGUCUUGGCGAGUACUCUGAUGAUGAUGACUACUAAGCAAUUCCAAAAGCUAUAUCAAGAGGUGCCAAAGCUAAGCAUCCUCAUAAUCUCAAGGACAGCUUUUUCCAGCUGUCUUUUGGAUUGAAAUUUUGGUAUAGGUGCAGACUACUCGGAUGAUGAGAAGCUGAAGCUUUGUUUAAUUUUUAUGCAAUGAGAACUGACAAUCAAGGAAAAAAGGCUACCCAGGUUUUUGAGAGCCAUACAUAAUAUCAAUACGAGGGCAUUUGGGGAAUAAUUAUUGAAAACCUUGAGAAUUGAGUAUGAACAAAUCAAAAUUGCAUUUAUAUAUUGUCCUUUGGAAUUAAAGGAAGAGGUUCAAAUGGGCCCUCUUUUUUCUCUGUUUUACAUUCUGCAAUGAAAAUUUACAAGCCAAAUGAAAGCCAUUUAGAUUGUAUAAACAGACGAAAAAGUUGUGUCCUUCAGUCCAGGUAGAA